GAUUGGGUAUUUUUGGUUGUUCAUGUGGAUGUUCUAAAUUCUUAUGUGAUUAUGAUAUCCAUUUUGCACAACUUCCCCACCCUAGUUUACAUGAUAGAACUCUCAUAACUGGUUUGAAUAUCUGUUUGUUUCAGGAUCCCUGCUUCUACACUUGCUUCUCACCCAUUGGUGCUAACAGCUCUCUCUAGCUUGAAUUCUGAUAUCCUUUCAGAGGCAUCCGUGAAUGUUAUAUAAUCAUCAUUUUGGUGAAGAUGAUUGAUGACUUGA